UAGUGUUACAGCUGUUUUAGAAUUUGUCUAGCAGGCAUUCUGGUUUUUGCCGAAAGCCCCC
ensembl:snRNA U7 U7 small nuclear RNA